CAUUUAUCGUUAUAUUAUACAUACUACAUACGAUGAUGGUGUCCGGUAUUCUGAAGGUCGAAGUUGUUCAACAGGAUUUCGAUUUUAUUUUACGAUCGGUCAAUUCGAAGUCGAGUCGACUUAAAUCAUUUCGAUAGAUCGAUCUAUCGAAAGUAACGAAUAAUAUCAAAUCUUUCGUGUAUACGCAAACACGAACACGAACACAAACACAAACACGAACAUACAGAGUAAAAUAUUAUCAGAGAAAAAGAGAGAAGAGAAUUUACGAAUAGAGAAGAUACUUCCAUUAUCGAAUAUUUCUUUCGACCUAGGUCAAGGUGUAGGAACGAAGAAGACUCGUCAAACAUGUUGUCUCUAUCCUAACUACGUAGAUAUAUAUAUAUAUAUAUAUAUAUAUAUAUAUAUAUAUGUAUACAUAUUGUCUAGAAGAUAUAGAAUCAUCAACUACAUAAAGCAAGUUAAGUUUUAUAAAAUCGUUACUCUGUUAGAAACACACCUUGACAAUGGUGGAGUAGGAAGGAAGAUAAUCCUUGCUAUUCAAAUGAACGAUGCGAAUCAGAUAUUUGGCAGUUCAUGUUGGCAGAGGAUAAUUUCAAACAAACGUGCGUGUCAUCUAUUCUCGUAUUAUUCUCAUAUGUAUAUAUAUAUAUAUAUGUGUUGUGUGUGUUCACGAAUACGAGAUUAUUCCUCUCUCUUAACGAGUAAAAACGUCAGCAUGUCACUUGAGACAAGUAGGACCAAAGAACGACGAGUAACGUCAAAUGUUCUCUCUCUAUCUCUAUAUCUAUUUAUCUCUCUCUCUCUCUCUCUACGUACGCGUAUGUGUACUAUAUAUAGAAUAAUACAUACUUGUAGAUACUAGAUUGGCAUUGUCGAUAAAAAGGUGCAACGACGUUGGACAAAUACUAUUAGAAUCUAACGACUGCCAAAAAAAAAAGAGAGAGAGAGAGAGAGAGAGAGAGAGAGAGAGAGAGAGAGAGAGAGAGAGAGAGGAAUGGAAAGAAAUAGAAAACACUUGAUUAACAAGAAUGAUGAUGACGAUGAUGAUAAUAAUAAUACCAAGAAUUUAUUGUUGCAGAAUGACGCGCAUAUAUAAAAUUAUGUUACUUAAAUUUCACGAAAUAUAAAAACGUAUGUCUGUUGGAAAUCUUCAAAAAUUUUGUGAAUUCCCUUUUCUUUUUUUCUUUUCUUUUUCUUUUUCUUUUCUUCUUUUUCUUCGUCUUCCUCGUUUCAUAUUCUUCGUUAAUAGCAAUGAAAUAAAAUGAUAAAUCAUAAAACUACUGUUAAACUAAUACUGAAGUUUCUGAUUUCAAGGGUUGAAAUAGACGGUGAUGGUGGUGGUUAUGGUGGUUAGCUUUUGUAAACAUUGGCUUAUAUCACGAUUAAUCACGUGGUCGAUAUGUUUGUAUGUGUUACCUAUGUAUAUCUCCUGCUAAUUCAUCUAAAGCUUUUGAAAAUACUUCUUAUCAAAAUAUAUGUUUCAUGUCUUUUUUUCUUUUCUUUUUCUUUUUUUUUUUUUCUUUUGCGAUUACGUUAACAAUUGAUCGAUGAAAGAAAAGAAAAUGAAAAUGACGCAAAAAAAAUUUUAUAUAAAAGAUUUUUAAUUGAUUAACGUAGUAGUCUCAUAGGAAAAGCAAUAAUACAAAUAUAUAUAUAUAAUGUUGUUCAAAGACAAAUAAGUAAGGUUAUUGUCGACUUUAAGUAUUAUUAGUACUUGAAUAAUGAAACGUCGAUGAUCAGAAUGUAAUAUUAUUGUUGGCGCAAAAUGGAUUUCAUUUGUAACACACAAGUUUCUUAGCUAACUUACACCGAACUCUCUCUCGUCGACGAUCAAUAAGACAAGCUCUCUCUCUCUCUCUCUCUCUCUCUCUCUCUCUCUCUCUCUCUUUCUCUCUCUCUCUCUUUCUCUCUCUCUCUCUCUCUCUCUCUCUCUCUCUCUCUCUCUCUCUCUCUCUCUCUCUCUCUUUCUUGGUGUCGACGGAACUCUACAAGCGUAAUUCUCGAGCGAUAACAUGACCCAGGUAUAUAAAAUGAUAUUAAACGAUUAUACCAAUUUAUUUCGAUGUAAAUUGUAAUAUUUGGAAAAAAAAAGGAAAAAAAAAGAAAAAGAAAAAUUAAAAAUAAAAAAGGAAGGAUAAAAGAGAGAGAGAAAGAGAGAGAGAGAGAGAGAGAGAGAGAGAGAGAGAGAGAGAGAGAAAAGGAGAAGGAAAAAGGAAAAAAAACAAAAGGUAAAUCUAUUUUAAGUCAUCGGCCAUUACAAAUUGAAAUUAUUAUCACGUAGUGAUAAUAAAUUAAUCAUUGAUAUCGUUCUAUUCCGGAUAACGACGUUUAAUGUAUGUACAUAUUUUCUACAAUGUGUCUACUCUCUUGCUAGUUGGUUAGAGUACACACGGAAGCAUUUCAAGACCCGGUGACCUCGUUUUCCUAACUACCGUCUUACAUUCGAGGAGCCAUUUCAAGUCGCAACAAAUUAUAUUAGCUGCGUCGAAAUCAUUUUACUUUAAGGAUACAGAUAUAGACAGUAGAAUGAUAAAGGAUUAAAAAAGAAAAAGGGGAGGGGGAGGAAAGGUUAAAAAGAAAAAAGACAGAGACAGGCAGGGGAGGGAAAGAAAGAAAGGAAUUAGAGAAAGGAAAAAAAAAAAAUGUACGACAUCCCCGAUGAUAACGAGAAAUAAUAAUAUACGUAGUAUUACGGACGGAAAGUUGCUAAGUGUUUUCUAUUUUCUUUUUUUUUUCUUUUUUUUUCUCUCUUUAUCCUUUUUUUUUCUUUUUCUUUUUUUUUUUUUUUUUUAAAUAUUCCUUCGAGACUUUUUAUACUAAUUUCUCUUUCUCUCUCUUCUUCUUCUUCUUCUUUCUUCUUUUUUUUUUUUUUUAUGUAAAACUAGAUACCUCAAGUCCAAGAACUUUCAACCCAUGGGGUGAAAAGUUUCAAUCAUUAUGACGAUUUCACUAGCAGAAUUUUUUUUUCUCUCUCUCUCUCUCUCUUUUCUUUCCUUUUUUCUUCAAUUGAUCUAUUCUACCAUUUUAGAUCAUGAUAAAAUAAUUUUCAAAGGACUCAUCAAUUAUUCUUCUCUCAUCAUCGUUAUAGUCUAUCUAGCUACCAGAGACUAUAGUUUUCAAGCAUCCCCAACGCGUUGCUCUCUUUCUCUCUCUCUCUCUCUCUCUCGUAUGGCAAGGUUGGAAAGGCCGAUUACUUCAGCCCCAUUAUAACCUUUUUGAAGGGAAUAAUAUCAUUACCCUUGGCUCGAGAGUAAUACGCUUAAGUGUUCGCUUAAACGUUCAUUUUCACGUAAAAUAGACGAGAGAAGAACGUGUAUGUGCUUCUUUCAAAGAUGCCCGAAGAAAUUGAUAUUAAAUUGGAGCCUCGAGUGAUGCAAA